UGCACGUGUCUUCUGUAUACUUCAUUACAAGUGGCAAGUCGAUCUUCAGCUAUUAAUAUUUUUCACCCAAGAAAGAAUAUACAUUUGAUACAGCACAUUCAAGAACGAGCUGGUCAACGUUUUCAUCCAGAACUUUAGCAAGAAACGGUGUUUUGGAACAAGUGCUGCUAUAUUGUAACGUGAUCAAAGUAAGGUUUUGUGUUGCUAUUGGCCAAUGACAAAUGUCUCAGCUAGAAUAAAGAAGCUGGAAUUGCUGCCGGACAAAAAUGGUUGGAAAAAACAUAAAGUCAAAAUAUUUACAUUUGCAGACAACUUUUAAAGUGCCCAAACGUUUGCUAGAAGAGCCAUUGCCACUUCAAACAUUGAAUCGAUCAACGACGAUGAGUCAAUGAACGACAAGCCACGAAAACGUCCUCCUCUCAAAAGGAGUAUGGAAGAAUUUUCAUAUUACAGUGACAUAGAACGUAGGCUAUAUAGUCUUCUAAAUAUUUCUCUGCGAUCACAACAACUUACAUACACAGUAACACAGAAAAGUUUUUUUUCUAUUGUUAUAACUACCUACGUGCGUAUAUGGCUGUAGUCAAUGAAGGGUCUUGUGUUUGAAACACAAUAAGUUCUUUGAAUUUGGCUAUGUCUUCUUCCUUAAGAUGGGAAAAGGUAUUUUUUCGCAUCAGACGAUGAUGACAGUGAUGAACCCGUAAUUCAACACACAGCCCCUCAGUUACCUCCUUCUCCACGUUACGCAUCUUUUUGUUUAAACAAUAAGCAUUUAUUGGAAUCUUCUGAAAGAAAUAUGAUAACACCCGUCAAUGAAGUCUUAUCAACAAAUUCUUGAAAUUUGCCGGUGUACAACGAGCUGAUCUCCCUUUGCAGAAAAAGAUUUAUAUGACGGUGAACUAGCACCAGAAAUCCUAAGCACAAAGGAUAAUGCAAUAACUUCCCCCAUCUACUAGUAGGACAGCAUUUCAGCGUAGUGAUACAAGCAACGUUUCAUCACAAAGAAUUCCUACAACUGGCACAAGAGAAAGACUUUUUCAACGAUGUUUGCACAGGUGUUUGCGCACAGUGCUACCAAAAACUGCAGCUAGUUG